GUGAAUGUAGCUUUGUCAGUAGAGNGCUUGUCUAGCACGCAAAAGGCCCUGGAUUCGAAUUUCAGCACUCAGG
rnacentral:tRNA from 1 species